UACGGGGGGAGCAAGCGUUGUUCGGAUUUACUGGGCGUAAAGGGCGCGUAGGCGGCCACUGCAAGUCAGUUGUGAAAUCUCCGGGCUUAACCCGGAAAGGUCAACUGAUACUGCAGGGCUAGAGUGCAGAAGGGGCAACUGGAAUUCUCGGUGUAGCGGUGAAAUGCGUAGAUAUCGAGAGGAACACCUGCGGCGAAGGCGGGUUGCUGGGCUGACACGUGACGCUGAGGCGCGAAAGCCAGGGGAGCGAACAGGG
rnacentral:rRNA from 1 species